rnacentral:rRNA from 1 species
AUUGAACGCUGGCGGCAGGCCUAACACAUGCAAGUCGAGCGAGCGGCGGACGGGUGAGUAAUGUCUGGGAAACUGCCUGAUGGAGGGGGAUACAUACUGGAAACGGUAGCUAAUACCGCAUACCAUCAGAUGUGCCCAGAUGGUAUUAGCUGUUAGGUGGGGUAACGGCUCACCUAGGCGACGAUCCCUAGCUGGUCUGCGAGGAUGCCCAGCAACACGGGAACGGAGACACGGGCCAGACUCCUACGGGAGGCAGCAGUGGGGAAUAUUGCACAAUGGGCGCAAGCCUGAUGCAGCCAUGCCGAGUGUGUGAAGAAGGCCUUCGGGUUGUAAAGCACUUUCAGCGGGGAGGCGUUACCCGCAGAAGAAGCACCGGCUAACUCCGUGCCAGCAGCCGCGGUAAUUC